GACGAACGCUGGCGGCGUGCUUAACACAUGCAAGUCGAACGGAAAGGCCCUGCUUUUGUGGGGUGCUCGAGUGGCGAACGGGUGAGUAACACGUGAGUAACCUGCCCUUGACUUUGGGAUAACUUCAGGAAACUGGGGCUAAUACCGGAUAGGAGCUCCUGCUGCAUGGUGGGGGUUGGAAAGUUUCGGCGGUUGGGGAUGGACUCGCGGCUUAUCAGCUUGUUGGUGGGGUAGUGGCUUACCAAGGCUUUGACGGGUAGCCGGCCUGAGAGGGUGACCGGCCACAUGGGGACUGAGAUACGGCCCAGACUCCUACGGGAGGCAGCAGGGGGGAAUAUUGCACAAUGGGCGGAAGCCGGAGGCAGCAACGCCGCGUGCGGGAUGACGGCCUUCGGGUUGUAAACCGCUUUCGCCUGUGACGAAGCGUGAGUGACGGUAAUGGGUAAAGAAGCACCGGCUAACUACGG
rnacentral:rRNA from 1 species